UCUCUGACGGUCCAGUGGUUAAGACUCUGUGCUUCCACUGCAGGGGGCACAGGUUUGAUCCCUGAUCAGUGAA
rnacentral:tRNA from 1 species